GUCUACGGUCAUGCCACCCUGAACAAGCUCGAUCUCAUCUGAUCUCGGGCCUGGUUAGUAUUUGGACGGGAGACCAUCUAGGAAGACCAGGUUCUGUAGGUA
rnacentral:rRNA from 1 species